AUGCUCCACGGGAAGAAAUUUUUCAUACAAAAAUUAAAUGAAAUCGUUAUAAUGAAUUAUUUGCUUACGUUACAUUACAAAAAAAAUAUUAAGAAGUUUAUCAAUGUUUAAGACAUAGACAAGAUUGAUGUUGUGGAUAUGACAAAACCGACCAUUUGGAGAGACUUGGCCAUGUAUUAUGGCGCUAUGGAAAAGCAUUGGAAAGUGUGCAUCAACUGUGGAGCACCAGAUCUAGGAACUGGCAUACACCUGGAACAUUCUGGAAGUACGGGAUCCAUGCACCCGGCUGUUAUACCCUCGGAGUACUUGUUGAGUCGAUUAUCAAUAGUCGACGUCAGCACAUUGACAACACUCAACCCGUCAGUAGUUCUAACCCUCGACGUAGCGUUACAAUGGGCAGCAUUGAAGCAUGACCCUAAGGAACCCACGCUACUACUCUUCAGAUUCGGCUGGACGGAUGAAGAUAAUAACCAGGUCAAUGUGAAUGCUUGUGUCUGUAAGGUGCCUGGUCUUAGCUACGAACUUGCAGAAUGGAUAGCAGCGAACUUAAGCCAUGUAGUGGGAGUCGCCACAGAUACGCCAACCUUCGAGUCGGAGCAGACCAGAGAAUUCGCUAGUAGAACUGUUUCCAAUGUGCUGGGUAGGAGCGGUAUCUACAUGAUUGAGAAUGUCCAUUUUAGAAAGAAGAUGCCUGAACAAGGCUGCAUGGCUCUAGCAAUGCCCCUGAAGCUCCUGAACGCAGCUUACGUACCGACCCGCCUCACAGCGUUCUGCCCUUCAUCGAAGACGGACCUUCACGUGGUAAUGGCUUUGAGACAAGAAGUCCAAGCGCAGACGCGGCUACCCAACAGUAGAGUUUACGAUGUCAAUUUAGAUGAGAUAUUGAGUUAGUUGUGCUUAGAUAAGUCUAUAGUUAAAUUGGCAAUGAAGUGAUCUUACUACGGAUCUCAAUAACCGACCGAUCCAUUGUUUGCGGUGAGAGAUUAAAUUAUGACAUUAGCUUUUAAUCCCCGACAGACAACGGAUGGAUAUUUAGAUUGGCUAUAGAAAUCCAUAUUAGAGAGGCUUAAAAUGAAUUUCAGUUGAGGGACUUUUUUAUGUGUUUUUAUGAGGUUAUGAAUGCUUCUUUUGCUUUAUGAGAUUAUCUAAGACUAUUUACUUUAUGGGAUUAUGAAUGCAUCUAUAUGCUUUAUGAUAUAUGUAUUAUGAAUGCUGUUAU